AUUCUCAGAGUCAGGAAAAGGGGCGAGAGGCCACAUCUCUCCCUCUCGCCAAACUGAAAACGAAACGGCGCUCCAGCAGAUUGGGUGGAAAGAGCUGUGUCUUGUUUUCUCUGUUUUUCACGCUAGAAAGGGCUUGUAAACAUUGUUUCUUUUAAAAUGACCUACCCCGGGAGGUUUGGGCACACUUCUGUCCUGGGGUCAUCGUUCCUAGGUGGCUUCGGACUUGGGACUUUGAUUUCCUGUAUCUGCACAUUGUCGUUUUAUACACAAUUGCCAAGGUGGAACUGAUUUCAGCUUUACUGAGCUUGAAGCUGCAAAGUGGAUCCUGUUACACUGAAACAAGAAAUGGCAAACGGAUAACAGUUACUGUGCCUAAAAGAUGGUUCUGCCCUGACGUUUCCUGGAAUAAUGCUGAGGACUGCCUGUCGGGUAGCUGCCUUAUUCAGUUCACUUCAUCUCGGAAACACCUGACCCCUGCCUUGGAUCCAGCGGCCCUCCUGAGAGCUGAGGAAGGAGGAAAUCCUAUGUGUCUGCUCCCAGAGCUGCCACAACCCAUCUUCCCACAACUCGGAACUUGGAAAAAGGAACCCAGGACACGACUUUGCUUUUCUUUUGGACCUAGUUGGUGAUUAUACCCGGUCUCCCAUGGAGACCAUGUCUUGCAUCCUUCCUUCUGUAUGGGAUUUAGGAUAGAAAUUAAAAAGAAAACAUCUUAUUUUGAGUCUUGAUUUGGAGAAAGGUAGUAUUUAGGGAGAAGUAGGCUAUGAUACACAUAGAAAAUUUGAGGACAGUGUUACUUAACAAGGACAUUUCUGUCUCUGCAGAAGUCACAGCUUGGAGGAAACCAGUUU
rnacentral:lncRNA from 1 species